rnacentral:rRNA from 1 species
AUUGAACGCUGGCGGCAGGCCUAACACAUGCAAGUCGGGCGAGCGGCGGACGGGUGAGUAAUGUCUGGGAAACUGCCUGAUGGAGGGGGAUAACUACUGGAAACGGUAGCUAAUACCGCAUACCAUCAGAUGUGCCCAGAUGGGAUGAGCUAGUAGGUGGGGUAAUGGCUCACCUAGGCGACGAUCCCUAGCUGGUCUGAGAGGAUGACCAGCAACACUGGAACUGAGACACGUUCCAGACCUCUACGGGAGGCAGCAGUGGGGAAUAUUGCACAAGGGCCGCAAGCCUGAUGCAGCCAUGCCGCGGGUGUGAAUAAGGCCUUCGGGUUGUAAAGCACUUUCAGCGAGGAGGCGUUACUCGCAGAAGAAGCACCGGCUAACUCCGUGCCAGCCGCCGCGGUAAUAC